UCCUGUUUUCCUGGUUCUCACAGAGAGAUAGACCACUCAAAAGCAGUGACUUCCCAUUAAGUCCUGGUCAUGAUGGUCGUCCGUGCUGCUGCGCUGCUCCUCGGAUUGGUGGUGUCGUGUAGUUCGGACUUCGCUCCUCCCACAAUUAGCAUAAACCUGGACGAUCCUGCAACAGCGCGAUGGGAGCCAAUUCUGACAGUAUUUGACGCAGACUAUCUGAAGAGAGCAGCUGCAGAGGUCAUAGACUCAUCUAUUCCGAAAUGGCUUCACUAUGUUCUCAAGCCUCUUGUAAAGACCUCAGAAAUGUUUAUUCUUCCUGAGCCAUACGGGGAGGAGCUUCGCGGCUUGGCAGCCCACUUUGACGGAAGCCUCUCAGAUGUCAUCAUGCUCAACUUUGCCUACGAAGUAUCUGCAUAUUGCACAAGCAUUGUUGCUCAGGACACAGACGGAAAUCUGUUCCAUGGCAGGAAUCUUGACUACCCACACUCACCAAUUCUGAGGAAUCUAACCAUCAAUGUAGACUUCCUGAAGGACGGAAAGGUGGCGUACAGUGGAACGUCCUUUGCUGGCUAUGUCGGUCUGUGGACGGGACAAAGUCCAUACAAGUUCACUGUCUCUGGUGACCAGCGAGGCAAGGAUCACUGGUGGAACUUCUGGAAGAAUGUGGUGUCAGCGUUUCUGUUAGGGAGAAGCCCCGUCAGCUGGCUGAUGAGAGAGACUCUGGAAGAGGCAGAAAACUUUCAAGAUGCUGUCAUGCGUCUUGCCAAAGUCCCCAUCAUCACUGGGGUAUAUUAUAUUGUGGGCGGGGCACGGGCAGGGGAAGGAGUCGUCAUCACCAGAGAUCGAGCCAGCCCUGCAGACAUCUGGCCUUUGGAUCCACUGAAUGGACAAUGGUUCAGAGUCGAGACCAACUUUGAUCACUGGCGUCCACCCCCAGCCACGGAUCAUCGGAGAGAAGCAGCCAACAAAGCAAUGAAUGCUACAGGUCAAGGUUUUAUCAACAUGCAUACGCUUUAUCAGUAAAUGUGUUCCAUCUGGAGGACAGGAAGUGACGUUUGGGGGCUCAGUGGUGAGUUUUAGCUUGGCGUGGGUUACAGCCGUUACUGUAGUUAGUUACUAUAGUUAUAAUUAUGGUGAUUAUGUUAUUAUUACUGUGCCCGGUGUGAGAUAAUUUACUUUAAACCUACAAUAAAAGCCUGUUGUUCCAGCGGUUAAGCCUGGUGCUUGUUAUUGACACCUAGUGACCAUUGUAGAAUACUACAUUCACAAUUUGAAUGCGUCUUCUUCAUGCCUUGUAUUUGUAUUUGAGUUCAUUUAGCCACUUUAUGCUUGAAAAUUAUUAAUCUAGGCAACAAAAUACAUAUUUGCUUAAAUAUGCUUUUUUUUUUUUACUAACAGCGUGAUUUAGUCAUUUUUAUAUGUUUGGAAAACUGUGACAGAAUGAAGCCACGAAAGUGGCGAGGGACGACUGUACUCGUGAAACCAAGACCAAUUUCUGUUGUGAUCCUUUUGCAUUUGUAACUUGUGAAAUUGCCUCUCCCCAGGUUUUGUCGCUGAAUCCAGUGUGUAAUGAGUAAGGAGAACACUUGAUCAUUAUGCUCUCAUCUUGGUGACAAUACAUCUCAUGACACUUGAUGUUGCUGGGACAGCGAAUGCCAACACUGGCCCCCUUUGCGGCAUGUCCUACCCAUUUGUUUAACAGCGUAGUGCAGCUUAGAGCAAACGGCGAUGCACUGCUUUGCUUGCGUAAUCUAUUUCCCCUUUCCUUCAAAUCCUUCUUUGAUAAUAAUAAAAUGACUGCGUGCAGUAUUUGUGGUCUUAAUAUGUUGCCUUUGUAAAGCUGUAUAUUCUUUAUUUUCUUAACAUUGUUCCCAACAUUUCACAGGAUAACAGUUUAUACGACAACGAUGAGCGCAGCAACGCCUGAGGAGUAUACCACAUUUGUCAGGCCGCAGGGCUGUCAUGGGAAUCUCUGACCUGAAGUGCCGCAAGUGAUCAGCAACUAUUGGGGCUAAAAUUGAAAGUAUGCAUCCUAUGUCGACACCUGUCCUAUGGACAUAGUAUGUGUAUAUUGGCCUAUGUAGACACUUGCUUGAAUCCAAAUCACAUUUAUUUACUUUUAACAUCAGUGUGUGUGUGUGCUAUCUCAUACAUAUGACCAUCUUCAAAUGUGCCUUAAACUUGUGUAAACACUUCAGAUCUCAGACCUCCUUUGUCUUGGGCUUGGGUAAAACAAUUUGAAAUGGUUGACCCGGAAAUAAACUGCAAGCAACAAACUCCCAAGACACCUGCCUUUUUGUUGUUACUCGACAUGUGGAUGUCCUUUGUAAUUAUCAUCUGAUAUUGUUCUUUAAAACCAUCAAGAAAACACCAGCACAAUGAUAAACGGCAUUCAUUUGAUCCUGCACCCCAUCCACAAUACUGUAGUAGCUACAGUAAUAGUGAUGUAUUGAAUGUGUUAUUGACAUGAACGCAUGCUAGCAAAAAUUAAACUACUUUUA